rnacentral:rRNA from 1 species
GAUGAACGCUGGCGGCGUGCUUAACACAUGCAAGUCGAACGAGAGAAGAUCGGUGCUUGCACUGAUCCGAUCGAGUGGCGGACGGGUGAGUAACGCGUGGGUAACCUGCCUCAUACAGGGGAAUAACAGUUGGAAACGGCUGCUAAAACCGCAUAAGCGCACAGUAUCGCAUGAUACAGUGUGAAAAACUCCGGUGGUAUGAGAUGGACCCGCGUCUGAUUAGCUAGUUGGUGAGGUAACGGCCCACCAAGGCAACGAACAGUAGCCGGCCUGAGAGGGGGAACGGCCACAUUGGGACUGAGACACGGCCCAAACUCCUACGGGAGGCAGCAGUGGGGAAUAUUGCACAAUGGGGGAAACCCUGAUGCAGCGACGCCGCGUGAGUGAUGAAGUAUUUCGGUAUGUAAAGCUCUAUCAGCAGGGAAGAUAAUGACGGUACCUGACUAAGAAGCACCGGCUAAAUACGUGCCAGCCGCCGCAGUAA